rnacentral:ncRNA from 2 species
GUAGGAGCCGGGCUUGCCCGCGAUGGCGCAGUAUCAGGCAGUACGUCUAAAACCUGAUUCACUGCUAUCGCGGGCAAGCCCGGCUCCCAC